UUUCUCUAUUAUUUUCCUACUUUUUUCCUUCACCGACUAGACUCAGUAGCUUAGCGCUAUAGUUUAAUAAUUUAAACAGUUAUAAAUAGCAGAUAUACUACAACAUUCAACACCUCUUCUCAUUUCUGUUCUGUUUUCUCAUUCAUCCAUGCUGGCCAUGUUCGACAUCUUCCUUGCCAAGGACCUGUGACUUUUUUAGCUUGUGUUGUUUCAGAACUCGUGUCCAUGUGCAGGACCAGUCAGGGGUCAGUGUUGCUCUCGAUGUUGCACUUCCUCCUCACCUUUUCAUAAAAGCGAUGAUGUAUUAAAUGUAUGGUCUAGCGUGUAUCUGUACAUGUGAACGUAUGAACGUGUUUAAGCGGGUGGAAGAAUUGUGUGUGUAUAUAUCUAUAUACAUAUUUGUGUCCUUAGGUAAGAUGUGAAGGUGUAAUGCGGGUAUUUGGGGGACAUGUAUAUUUAAAAAAAAAAAAAGAAAAGAAAAAAAAGAAUCGUACUGAUACCUGAAAUUUUCUGUGGUUGCUGACCCAAGAACAGCUUUGUUUUCUCUUGGGAGAGUUAGUGAUAGACUUUUGAAAUAAAAGAGCCUAAUCCGAGAUCAGCACAGGAAGAUAACUUCUAUCUGAAGCUCUUUGAAAUUGACUGUAGGCUAACUGCCUCCACGAGUACCAGGCACUGCCAAUAUGUGUUUAUAGGUUGGAUUUUGGUGGGAGUGAGGGUAUUAAAAGGGGGGAGGGGGUCCAUGUAUCGGUCUUCUUGUAAGACAGUUUUCCCACCUUGUCAUGGCCUAUGACAUCCCCGAUAGAAAUCUAACAAUAGCAAUGCGGCUCACAUUCUCAGUGGGCAAGCGAAUAUUUUUGACUGUUAUCACAGUGUUAGCGCAUUCCCUGAGGGAAAUAUAGGAUGGAAGUUUUGCAGUGUACUACAACAUUUUUGUUUGUUUCAUGUACAUAGUGUAUGUAAUAAUGUAUAUCAGUCUGUGGAAUUUUGUGUGGUGUUGAUUGUAUGACUGUGGCUCAAAAGUGACCAAAUGUUACAUGUCAAUAGGGGUUGAUGAUGAGCUCCCUCAUGUGGACUGGAGAUUGUUGUAUAACUUAACAAUCACAAAGUGCAAAAUCCUCUGCCUUCCCCACAGAGGAAAACGGAAAGGAAUGGCAUUGAAAGAGCAAGUUUCUCCACUUAUUGUUGGGCUUAAAUUAUAUAAGCAUCUGAUGUACCUGCAAAGGAGUUAUUACAAUAAAAACAGGUUUAGCUGCCAAUACUGUCAGAGCUGCUGUUACAGAGAAUUAAUCACACCCUUCUGACAAAUCAGAACCAAGAAUUCAAUAUCUAUUUGAUAUAGGUAUUACAACAUACUUGAAGUUUGAAAAGUAAAUUGGGGUUUUUAUCUUGCCGAAUAGGUUACUGCACCUUGCUAAGAUACUGCACCUAUCUUGCUAGCCAGCUAAUUGGCAUUCCAAGUAGCUAGCAAGCUGACAUGAAUACAUAUUUCAGUGGAAAUAAAUGAGGGGUUUGUAUUCAGUUUUCAGGAUUGGGAAACACUAAUCUUUAAGCAACUCUCGUUCAUGCAUGUAACUGUAUUUAUCAGAAUAUGCCAUGCCAAAGCUGAUCCUAGAUCAGUCCAUCGUUUAAAGAAAUCUCAUGAAAUUGGUCCAGCAACUCAAAGUUUAGCCUAACUAGAAUUAAGAUUAAAUAGACUGUAGAAAUCUGUCUGACUCUAGAUUCAUUUAGGAAAUUUAGUAUAUAAAAAAUGUUUCAGCUUGAAUUUUGACAGACAGUUGGUAACGUGAUAAGUGCAGAUAAAAUAAGUCAAGAAUAUCUGGCAAAUAGAAUUAGAAAUAAUUCAUUGUGUCUUUGGUCUGUCAAAGUGAUUUCAGUCUCGGUCUUUACCAGUGACCCUGUUGUAUGAACCACUGUGUUAGCUGUAGUAUUUCUCUUUCCCCUUGUGGAUCUCCAAGUAUUUGUGGCAAGGAUCCAUAAGUGUACACUUCACAGUGUGCACUUGUAAUAAAAAGGCAGUCAGCUGCCAGAUAUGAAUAAUGAUGUCAGUACUAAACAGGGCAAUGGCCAGCAUUCCCACCCUUAACUUUGUGUACUAGAAAAUCAAGUGUCAUGUCUGUGCUUUGAUAUUUUAAUUUUCUUUCUGUUGUAACUUAGUUGUUUUUUAUUGUUUUCAUUUGCUUCUGAUUCUCAUUUCUUAAUCGGGGCAAAAAAAAAAAAAAACAUUGGAAAAAAAAUGAUAAAAUGUUGUAAAUGUUUGGUAAAAGUUUAUAGUGCUUUUGUUUUCUGGUUCUGAAUAUUUUUUAACAUGUUACAAUGAAGAUUGUAGUGUACAAAUCCAC
ensembl:lncRNA